AUCGUUUCUUGGCCUUUUGGCUAAGAUCAAAUGUAGUAUUUGUUCUUAUCAGUUUAAAAUAUCCUCUAAGUUUUCUGUAAUUAAAUCAGUGAGUGCAUUGUGAUGAGCAGACAGAUUAACCAGUGAAACAAUGUAAUCCCAU
ensembl:snRNA U2 U2 spliceosomal RNA